AGCAGCCGCGGUAAUUCCAGCCCCAAUAGCGUAUAUUAAAGUUGUUGCAGUUAAAAAGCUCGUAGUUGAAUUUCGGGGUUAGUAGGUCGGUCAUGCCACUGGUAUGUACUGGUCUCACUGAUUCCUCCUUCCUGAUGAACCGUAAUGCCAUUAAUUUGGUGUUGCGGGGAGACUGGACUGUUACUUUGAAAAAAUUAGAGUGUUUAAAGCAGGCUAACGCUUGAAUACAUUAGCAUGAAAUAAUGAAAUAGGACGUUCGAUCCUAUUUUGUUGGUUUCUAGGAUUGACGUAAUGAUUAAUAGGGAUAGUUGGGGGCAUUAGUAUUCAAUUGUCAGAGGUGAAAUUCUUGGAUUUAUUGAAGACUAACUACUGCGAAAGCAUUUGCCAAGGAUGUUUUCAUUAAUCAAGAACGAAAGUUAGGGGGAUCGAAGACGAUCAGAUACCGUCGUAGUCUUAACCAUAAACUAUGCCGACUAGGGAUCGGAUGAUGUUAAUUUUUUAAUGACUCAUUCGGCGCCUU
rnacentral:rRNA from 1 species